rnacentral:rRNA from 1 species
AGUGAACGCUGGCGGCAGGCCUAACACAUGCAAGUCGAACGGCAGCACGGCAGUAGCAAUACUGUGGGUGGCGAGUGGCGGACGGGUGAGGAAUACAUCGGGAUCUACCCUGUUGUGGGGGAUAACGUAGGGAAACUUACGCUAAUACCGCAUAAGAACUGAGGUUGAAAGCGGCGGACCGCAAGGCGUCGCGCGAUUGGAUGAACCGAUGUCCGAUUAGCUAGUUGGCGGGGUAAAGGCCCACCAAGGCGACGAUCGGUAGCUGGUCUGAGAGGACGACCAGCCACACUGGAACUGAGACACGGUCCAGACUCCUACGGGAGGCAGCAGUGGGGAAUAUUGGACAAUGGGCGCAAGCCUGAUCCAGCCAUGCCGCGUGGGUGAAGAAGGCCUUCGGGUUGUUAAAGGCCCUUUUGUCCGGUAACGAAAAGACAUUCGGUUAACUCCGUGCCAGCAGCCGC